GACGAACCGUGCGAACGUUGUUCGGAAUCACUGGGCUUAAAGGGCGCGUAGGCGGCGCACCCAGUCCGGGGUGAAAGCCCCCAGCUCAACUGGGGAAGUGCCUCGGAUACUGGUGCGCUCGAGGGAGGUAGGGGCGGAUGGAACUUCCGGUGGAGCGGUGAAAUGCGUUGAUAUCGGAAGGAACGCCGGUGGCGAAAGCGAUCCGCUGGACCUCUUCUGACGCUGAGGCGCGAAAGCCAGGGGAGCAAACGGG
rnacentral:rRNA from 1 species